rnacentral:tRNA from 1 species
GCCCGGAUACACGGUGGCUCGUCUUGUAAUCGAGCGGUUAGGGGUUCGAGUCCCCUCGCCGGCUCCA